rnacentral:lncRNA from 1 species
GCACGUGUGGCGUUCUGGCGCCCAAACGGCUUCGCGAAGCACGACAGGGAACCGGCCCCCCCGACUGCGCGGCGCCCGCUCUGGGCGCUGGCGGGGCGCCGGGCUCCCUGCACAGGGGCAGCCUGUGUGGGACUGAAAACAUGCACCUUGCCCCGCGUGUUUGCUCUGCCUCUUGCCGUCUCGGCGCUGGUGUGCCGCUGCAGAGUCACUGAGAACUCUAAGCUCUGCUUACUUUUCCGCAAAGGAAACCAGGCCUUCUGAUCAAAGGUAACUGCGUAGAGGCUUUUACUUCUUUGCCUCAGGCUGCUGAAAACGGUGUGAAUGGAACGGGAGCGGGGAGGUGAGAUGUGCGGCCCCCCGGGAGGCCCUGGCUGACAGGUCUGGCCGGACCACCGGAGCUGCGGGCCUCAGGGCAGGGGCCAGUGGGAGGGCGCAUGGCCGCACCGCAUGCUCAACCGAGGGGCCAAGGCCCCGUGCAGGACCGAGCUGAGGUCAGCAGGUCUGGCCCCGCCGCCUGCUUUCCCCCAGGGCAGUGCUAGCGCAGCCAGAGGCCCAGAUGGCUCCUCCCAGGGCAGUGAAAUUGCACGUGGCGCGACCGACCGACAAACACGAGGAGCUCGGACCAAGGGAACGAGUUGACGUCACGAUAGAGGUCGAAUCAGCAAAACGCAGAAAAGACAUGGAAGGAAAGGCAUUACGUGGAGGAAGACGCAGGAGAGCAGACGCUGAGGGAUCACCCCACAGCCACGAGGACCCGAUUCUUCCAGGGGCCGGGGGAGCUUGCAGCGGGGCUGCAGACAAAAAGGUAUUAUCAGAAGUAAAAACGUUAGAAGCAACAGGAAGUUGAAUUCACACAACAGAAAGCCAAGUCAGGGAGGUGGAAGGUGGGUCUACGGGAGCCUCACAGAGUGAAGUGGAAGACAACAGUUGGAAGAAGACGAGAAGAUGUGAAAGGCAGAGGAAGACAAGCAGGAUGCUUCCCGAUGGCUCUUCUGCAGAAGAUGACCGGUCCUUCGAUUAUGGAAAGGAGUAAAGCUGUCCGUCAGGAGCACAGAAGGGCGGGCCGCGGCACACAGGGCCAUACGGGCGAGCCUCAGAAACACUCUGCUGAACGCAGAAGUCAGGCACAAAGCACUGCAUAGGUCACGGUUCCACGUAUCUGAAGUUAAGGCUCCAACAGUGGUCACCUUGGAAGUACUGACNGGGGGGGGGGGAGGUUCUGGAAAGUUCUAUGUCUUGAACUGGGUGGCUUUACAGGAGAGGAAACAUAUGUAAAAAGUCAAGCAGGACACUUAAGAUGUGGGAGUUUUAAAUAUGUUAAAUUAUAACCGAAUAAAAAAAUUAAAAAUAUUAACCA